CGAAUGAAGAAAUGAGGCUCCUCCUGCCAGGUGGCUUCUCAGUUUGUCGUCCCAGGAAUCUGGAACGAAGUUUAGGAGGGCUGCGUCCCCUCCAAUCCCAGGGACAGGCCUUAGCAAGCCCUGAGUCCCGUUAAUAAAUCCUCCCCGUAACAGUGGCCUCUCUGGAGCCUGCUGGUGCCUGGCCGGGCGCAGAGGCCGCGCCGAGCUCUCACAAACUAAUGCAGGUCCUUGUGAAAAUGUUAGGGCAUCUAUUCUGUCUUCACUGCCCAGGAUUCUGGGGACAGUCGGGCUGUGGGCUUCUCCCCUUGAAAGGCCUGCAGUUUAAAGACAUGUCCACCAGGUGGCGCAAAGCCUCCUUUUCGUGCGGCUGUUGGAGCCCACUGUCUGUGGACAGUGUCUGUUCUGCGUGGGGGCGAGUCGGCCUUCUCUUACUAGGAUGUGAAUACAAAUCUCCAACCCAGGACUACCCGUGUGAAAUGACUUUUUCCUGUGUGUGGAGUCUAUACAUUUACCUCUGAAGCCCUUGAAACCAGGAGAAGCAGUUUCCUGCGAUGAGUCCUUGCAUCUGACUUCAAGUGCUCUGGGUUUGGCCGCUGCUGAAAUGAAAUCCACUUUUUCUACAGGAAGUGCGAAACUCCUGUGCGUUACAGGAAGUAAGAGCUUCCACAUAUUCUCUUGAGAAUAAUGAACACUUCCCGGAGGAAACAAUAUAACUUAAUAAAGUCAGUUUUUUUCAAUAAAGAACCAACUGCUUAAGAACACAUUCAGAGGGAAGAAGCAUUUGAGAUGAUUCACUUCACGAAUAAUUAAAAGCAAAUCAAAAACAAGAGUGGCUCAUCAGAUCAAUAACAGGGAACAGGCUCGAGUAUCUACUUGGGUCCGGUACUUUCGCUGUGAGUGACUUUGCCGUAGACAUCGUUGCUGCAAACCUUUUUUGUCACGUAACUAAUGGGCCAUAAGGCAAUUUUGCCAUACAAGAUAAAAUAACUGGUUGACGUUUGGUUUCAUUUCUCCAUUGACAAAGUUCCCAUUUUUAUGUUAUAUAAAUCUUCGCUAGCCCUCAUAAUGGUCUAGCCAGUGUUGAAUAGAGGUGGUGAUCUUAAAAUAGUGGGUAAUGACAACUAUGUAUAUCUAUUUUUUUUAAAGAUUUUAUUUAUUUAUUUGACAGGUUGAGACACAGUGAGGGGGGGUGGGAGAGGGAGAAGCAGGCUUCUCGAGGAGCGGGGAGCCUGAUGCGGGGCUCGAUCCCAGGACUCUGGGAUCACGACCCGAGCUGAAGGCAGACGCUUAACGACUGAGUCACCCAGGCACCCCUAUGUAUAUCUAUUUGAUAGAGAGUUUGGUGACAAAGCUUACUGGCAGUGUGACAUCGCCUGUCGAGCAGACCGCAUACUAUACUAUGCCAGAAAAUGUUAUCUAUCAGUUACAGAGAUAACAAAGCUCAGUUAUAAAUGCUUUACAGCAUUGGCAUUUCUUCCACAUUUCCCAUAGAACUUGGAAAUGUCUGUCAGCAGACAGGUGACAAUAUGCCAAGAGCGAACAACGGUGUGGAAGACUUUCACAAUGCAACCUGAAGCUCACUGACAAAUAUGCAUCCUACUAUUUGGAAACGGAUAUCUCCCUUAAUGAAAAGAAAUUUUCAUGGAACACUGCACCAAAAACUAAUGAUGUAAUAUAUGGUGAUUAAC
rnacentral:lncRNA from 1 species